rnacentral:rRNA from 1 species
GGGUCAGUAGGUUGGUCGUGCCACCGGUACGUACUGGUCUCACUGAUUCCUCCUUCCUGAAGAACCGUGAUGCCAUUAAUUUGGUGUUGCGGGGAAACAGGACUGUUACUUUGAAAAAAUUAGAGUGUUUAAAGCGAGCUAACGCUUGAAUACAUUAGCAUGGAAUAAUGAAAUAGGACGAUCGAUCCUAUUUUGUUGGUUUCUAGGAUUGACGUA